ACAUGCUUAUAGCAUAGUAUUAAUGCAUUGGAUCCCAUUAGAACUCUGUAGUUUUGUGCGCUUGGGCUAGAGUAGUACUUGGAUGGGUGACCGCCAGGGAAGUCCUAGUAUUUUACAUGCC
rnacentral:rRNA from 1 species